AAAAUGAAUUAGUCUCAUUCAGAUAUUGUAUAGUAUGUAUCAUGACUUGUGAAAGCAAAACAGCAGGUGUUCUAUGGAACAUUGUCUGGAAGAAGCUAUGAACACUUUAGAAAUUUAUUCGAUAGUUUCACAAGAAUUGUGCACGUGAAAGACGUUUGGAGGUGUGUUUGCCAGUGAUAAACUAUCUGAUCAUGCAGAAAAAAAAUUAUACAUCAUCAUUCUGGAUCCAGUCAUAAAUCUGGUAGCCACUGGGUCUGUAUUUACAUUGGUCGAGAUGAGAAAGAAGAAUAUUUCGUUCCAUUAGGACUGACUCCACAUAAUCUCAACAUAGGAAAAUCACCAAAACGAGCUGUCCAACGUAAACUUACAACAACAAAAAAGUAUUGUAAGGACCACAUUCGUCUGUGUGUGGACAAUAUUGUAUAUAUAAUGUACUUGGUAUUUAUGUCUACAUAUGUCCAAGAAAGUCCAGUCCUCAAAGAUUUAUGAAUAAAAGGUUACAACACUAUUGCCCAACGUAUAUCGCAACAGGAACUGUGAACACACGAGUUUAUUAUCAAGCUCUUCCAAUGUUUUCGAUUCUGGACUUUUGUCUCUCCGUAUCUCUGGUGAAAUGGACAACAAAAGAAUGUCACAACUGCAGAAUAGAAAAUGAUACAACUGAAAAAAUACGUCUCUUUUAAUCAAGAACAAAGAAUACCAAAAGAAUUGGAGAGGAGACAGCAAUGAAUCCAGGUCAUUCAGCGAGAAAACUGGUAGCCAUCCAAAACUGACCACUUCUGUGGAGCUCACUUUCAGACAGACAAACAUUAAAUUGGUCCGAAACGGCUUUUCGCUUCCUUUCUAUUCAGACUAUUAGCAGUCCUGGUCUUCUGAUUGAAAGAAAAAGUACCAACAGCAAUCAGUGAACACCCGAAAACAGAAAAGUUACAGCUACACACGAUAUAUUUGCGUUUGCCGUCAUACAGUAAUAGAAAAAUGUCAAUCCAAUGAAAUAGUUAGGGAUGCCUAAUACCUUUGUUCAAUACUGUAUACAUACUACCAAGGGUAUCACAAAACAGGUUUCCAAUUUAACCACUGGAUACAAGCAAAAAAUAAA